GGCGGCGUGCUUAACACAUGCAAGUCGAGCGGUAAGGCCCUUCGGGGUACACGAGCGGCGAACGGGUGAGUAACACGUGAGCAACCUGCCCCUGACUCUGGGAUAAGCGGUGGAAACGCCGUCUAAUACCGGAUACGACCCGCCACCUCAUGGUGGAGGGUGGAAAGUUUUUCGGUCAGGGAUGGGCUCGCGGCCUAUCAGCUUGUUGGUGGGGUAACGGCCUACCAAGGCGAUUACGGGUAGCCGGCCUGAGAGGGCGACCGGCCACACUGGGACUGAGACACGGCCCAGACUCCUGCGGGAGGCAGCAGUGGGGAAUAUUGCGCAAUGGGCGAAAGCCUGACGCAGCGACGCCGCGUGGGGGAUGACGGCCUUCGGGUUGUAAACCUCUUUUACCACCAACGCAGGCUUCCAGUUCUCUGGAGGUUGACGGUAGGUGGGGAAUAAGGACCGGCUAACUACGUGCCAGCAGCCGCGGUAAUACGUAGGGUCCGAGCGUUGUCCGGAAUUAUUGGGCGUAAAGAGCUCGUAGGCGGCGUGUCGCGUCUGCUGUGAAAGACCGGGGCUUAACUCCGGUUCUGCAGUGGAUACGGGCAUGCUAGAGGUAGGUAGGGGAGACUGGAAUUCCUGGUGUAGCGGUGAAAUGCGCAGAUAUCAGGAGGAACACCGGUGGCGAAGGCGGGUCUCUGGGCCUUACCUGACGCUGAGGAGCGAAAGCAUGGGGAGCGAACAGGAUUAGAUACCCUGGUAGUCCAUGCCGUAAACGUUGGGCGCUAGGUGUGGGGACUUUCCACGGUUUCCGCGCCGUAGCUAACGCAUUAAGCGCCCCGCCUGGGGAGUACGGCCGCAAGGCUAAAACUCAGAGGAAUUGACGGGCGCCCGCACAAGCGGCGGAGCAUGUUGCUUAAUUCGACGCAACGCGAAGAACCUUACCAAGGUUUGACAUCACCCGUG
rnacentral:rRNA from 1 species